GUAGUCAUAUGCUUGUCUCAAAGAUUAAGCCAUGCANGUCUAAGUUCACGCCUUAAAAUGGUGAAACCGCGAAUGGCUCAUUAAAUCAGUUAUGGUUCCUUAGGAUAUGGUUUUGUACUUGGAUAACUGUGGUAAUUCUAGAGCUAAUACAUGCUUAUACGCUGCAGGCCUCUGGUCAGGUAGUGUGCUUUUAUUAGACAAAGCCCCGCUGGACGGAUUGCGAUCCGAUCCGGCUGUCUCGACGGUGCUGACUCUGGAUAACUUUGCCAAGCGCUAAGGUUUUAAUACCGGCGCUAUUCCUUUCAAGUGUCUGCUCUAUCAACUGUCGAUGGUAGGUUAUGCGCCUACCAUGGUUGUAACGGGUAACGGAGAAUCAGGGUUCGAUUCCGGAGAGGGAGCCUGAGAAACGGCUACCACAUCCAAGGAAGGCAGCAGGCGCGCAAAUUACCCAAUCCCGGAACGGGGAGGUAGUGACGAAAAAUAACAAUACGGGACUCUAUUGAGGCUCCGUAAUUGGAAUGAGUACACUCUAAAUCCUUUAACGAGGAUCUAUUGGAGGGCAAGUCUGGUGCCAGCAGCCGGUUANUUCCCAGCGCCAAUAGCGUAUAUUAAAGUUGUUGCGGUUAAAAAGCUCGUAGUUGGAAAACUCGCCCUGGCUUACAUAGAGGAUCCGUCCUCGCAGUAUUUCGGGAGCGAACGGAGGUGGCUGUUCUUUGUCCUCUUUAUUGAGUGGCUUAGAGUGGCCAUCAUAAAUCACUUUGAUUAAAUUAGAGUGCUCAAAGCAGGCGUUUCGCCUUUAUACCAGUGCAUGGAAUGAUGGAAUACGUUGCUGUUCUGUUUGUUGGUUUUUUGGACGGCAAAAUGGUCGAGAGGAAUAGCCGGGGGCAUUCGUAUUGCGACGAGAGAGGUGAAAUUCUUGGACCGUCGCAAGACGAACUACAGCGAAAGCAUUUGCCAAGAAUGUUUUCAUUGAUCAAGAACGAAAGUUAGAGGUUCGAAGGCGAUCAGAUACCGCCCUAGUUCUAACCAUAAACGAUGCCAACUAGCAAUCCGCCUGAGUUCUAUAAAUGACUCGGCGGGCGACUUCGGGAAACCAAAGUAAGGUUCCGGGGAAGUAUGGUUGCAAAGCUGAAACUUAAAGGAAUUGACGGAAGGGCACCACCAGGAGUGGAGCCUGCGGCUUAAUUUGACUCAACACGGGGAAACUCACCCNGCCCGGACACCGGAAGGAUUGACAGAUUGAUAGCUCUUCUCUUGAUUCGGUGGAUGGUGGUGCAUGGCCGUUCUUAGUUGGUGGAGCGAUCUGUCUGGUUAAUUCCGAUAACGAACGAGACUCUAGCCUAUUAAAUAGACGUCGGGUUCUNUGCACUCGACGGUCUUUCUUAGAGGGACAAGGUGCUUUUAGCACCGCGAAACAGAGCAAUAACAGGUCUGUGAUGCCCUUAGAUGUCCGGGGCCGCACGCGCGCUACACUGAAGGAAGCAGCGUGUAACAACCUUGUUCUAACGAACUGGGUAACCCGUGGAACUUCCUUCAUGAUUGGGAUAGGGGUUUGCAAUUAUGCCCCUUGAACGAGGAAUUCCCAGUAAACACUAGUCAUCAGCUAGUGCUGAUUACGUCCCUGCCCUUUGUACACACCGCCCGUCGCUACUACCGAUUGAAUGGUUUAGUGAGGUCUUCCGAGUGGACGUCCGUACGGCCUUUGGGUCGUUUGGAAUGACUGNGAAGAUGCCCAAACUUGUCACUUAGAGGAAGUNAAAGUCGUAACAAGGUUUCCGUAGGUGAACCUGCGGA
rnacentral:rRNA from 1 species